AUUAGAAAUUAGAAAGUCAGUUCGAGAUUGUUAAAGUAGUAUUAGAUUUUAUCAUUGAGCUUUUCUUUUCCACAACAAAAAGAAGAAGAAAAAAGACAUUGAGCUUUUCUAGUAAUCGACUUGCUCUUUUGUGCAUAGCAGGCUGUGGGGAUACAGAUAUGGAAGAACUUACAAAUAAUUUGAACGACCUGCCUCCCUUAUCCUCUGAGUGCUGUAUCUACAAGGUUCCAAAGCGACUACGUGGUGUAAAUAACAAGGCCUAUACACCUCAGGUGGUCUCAAUUGGCCCCCUUCACCAUGGUCGAGAAAGCCUAAAAGCCAUGGAAGAGCAUAAAAUGCGGUACAUGAAGGACUUUCUUGAACGAACAGGGGUAGAGCUGGAGGUUCUUUUCAAAGACAUGAUGGAACGGCAAGCACAAAUUCGUGCUUCUUACGCAGUAACCGUCAAAUUUGAUGAACAUGAGCUCGUAAAAAUAAUUAUGGUCGACGCCACCUUUACCUUUGAGGUCAUGCUCAGAGUUUCUUUGCCAUCACUACAAAGGGAAAACGACCGAAUAUUUGGAAAACCAGGGAUGCUAAGGGACAUUAUAUAUGAUAUGUUGUUGCUUGAAAAUCAGGUGCCAUUCUUUAUCCUCGAGUAUCUCUACUUCUUAGCCCAUUCCAAAAAUAUAUUUGAUCUCGAAAGUGGGCUUUCCAUCAUUAGCCUAACCCAUAAGUUAUUCCGCAAUAGGGUUUACAAAAGGCCAUUUCAUGAAAUUUGUCACAAAUUCUCUCGCCCUUCGACUAAAAUACACCAUUUUGUUGACUUUUUGCUACAAUGUCAUCGACCUUUACCUUCUGAUCUUCCAACCAAAAAAAAAUUCAAAACUUUAAACAUACCAAAUGCAACAGAAUUACACCAGGCGGGAGUCAAGUUUGAGAAGGCUAAAAAAAAAAAAUACAAAAUUAUUUGACAUACAAUUUGAGAAUGGAAUCCUUAAAAUUCCACGCCUGCGAAUACGGGGUUCAACAGAAAUUUUCUUUCGUAAUCUUAUUGCCUAUGAGCAGUGUGAGCACUGUGAUCAUUACAUCAACGACUAUGUCUUCUUCAUGGACCGCCUGGUAGAUAGUGCCAAGGAUGUGGAAUUGCUUGCGAAGAGUAGAGUUCUUGAAUCUAAGCUACCGGACAGCAAGGCAACAGCGGAUUUUAUUAAUAAUCUUGACUUGGGGCCUAUUUUGUUCAGCAGAAAAUUCUAUUUCACCGAUCUUUGUGACAAGCUGAAUGAACACUACGGAGAGCCCUGGCACGAGUGGAAGGCAAGUUUGAAACAAGACUAUUUCAAAUCCCCAUGGGCUAGCCUGUCUAUUAUUGUAGCCGCUAUACUAGUUGUGCUCACAUUUAUUCAAACAGUAUGCUCCGUAAUGGAGCUGUAGGUUCUUUAUUUCCUCAAUUUCAUGUUUACAGGUUGCAGAUCUUGUUGCUCGUGUACGUGUUUAUCUAAAGUUAAAUAAGAGUGAUUGACUGGUAG